GUGAGUUAGCCCUUGUCUUAAGACCCCUUGUAGGUAUGACUAGGUGUCACUGCUGCAUACCUAAUUAUCAAUUACACAACAGGUAGCUGUUAAUCCUGUGAGCUCCUGUUAUCUCUGUGUCCUGGCCAUUGUCUGCUUCAUCAUUCCACGUCUACGUCCCCAAUUAAUGUAAUUAUUUAUGUCUCAUGUCAUCCUGUCCUUCCCCCGGAUAUUGUGUUGCAGGAUUUGAUCGAAUUACUUCCUUCCUGACAUGGUACUUAGAUCAUGUGAUAUUUGUCUUGCCCCUUUUCUUACUUGUGUAUAUAUAGCUCUGUAUUUGGUUUUAAUAAAGAAGUCCUGUUUUCACCUCAA